rnacentral:rRNA from 1 species
UGGGGGAUAUUGCACAAUGGGCGAAAGCCUGAUGCAGCAACGCCGCGUGGGGGAUGAAGGCCUUCGGGUUGUAAACUUCUUUUGCUCUGAACAAGGCGCACCAUGGGGUGUGUUGAGUGUAGGGGUUGAUUAGCGCCGGCUAACUACGUGCCAGCAGCCGCGGUAAUACGUAGGGCGCGAGCGUUGUCCGGAAUUAUUGGGCGUAAAGGGCUUGUAGGUGGCUGGUUGCGUCUGUCGUGAAAGCUCAUGGCUUAACUGUGGGUUUGCGGUGGGUACGAGCUGGCUUGAGUGCAGUAGGGGAGGCUGGAAUUCCUGGUGUAGCGGUGGAAUGCGCAGAUAUCAGGAGGAAUACCGGUGGCGAAGGCGGGUCUCUGGGCUGUUACUGACACUGAGGAGCGAAAGCAUGGGGAGCGAACAGG